rnacentral:lncRNA from 1 species
AGCAAGCGAGGGGGAAAGACCGGACCGCUCCGACCCACCCCCUCCCUACCCCCACCUCCCACCUUAAAGCACCUUAUACCACGGAAGGCUCUCAGCCUCUUCUUUCCUCUGCGAACGCGCUGAGCAGCGAUUGAAAACGUUUUGGUCCUCUGCAGGGGCGCAUUCUGGGGUCUCUGCGCAAGACCAGCUCUCAGCUCUCUCUCCUUUCCUCGGACUCUGGAGCGGGAGCGGGCCUUUCCCUCGGGUCGACCACGCCGUAGGGGACGCCGUGAAAAGAGCCGUCGCGCCCGCUGCCUCCUGCCCGCUGCGCAGAGGGCUCCGCCCGUAGAGGUCAACUUCCCUCACCCUUUUCUCUCUCCUGCUUGCCCUCCCUCCGCCCGGCCCAGGCGCUUCCAGCCCCAGACUGUGGCCACUGGCUGAGGAGUGCGAGUCGGCUGCGCUGCCCUGAGCCUAAUCCCUCUUCCGGGCCCAGACCCGAGGUCCGCGCUCCUGGGCAGUGGGGAAGCUUUAGUGAGCAGGCUUUUCUCUCCGCAGCAAACUUGUAGCCAGACCAGAUGGGCCGCCCAGCUCUCUCGGGACUAGGCAGGUGCGGAUGAGUUAAUUUUUCCGCAUUACAAAGAAAGAUGACCCAGCCCGCCCUUGGACUCUCUUUUCCCAAAAUCUCCCAACCAAACCCGCGGUAACGUUAUCAAAGGACACAGAGCCCAGGCAUAUCUGUGUGUUUAUCUUACAGGCACACACGCAUGGUUUUCUCUUUUAUAUGCUAGAUUUCAUCCCUGACAGCAGAAAAUGAUUGGCAAUGGUUAUGACGGAGAACAUGCAAUAGCGUGGUCCUUAAAAACCUGCCAUUCCUUACAAGUGCCUUAGAAAGGAUUCAGGGCGAACCAACUGGGUUAAUUGCAUUCAGUAAAAUAACACGAUUACAAAAUUAAAAAAAAAAAA